AUGUUUCCCUUGCUCAAAAAGGCACUAAGUCAUCUCCAAGUUUGAAGCACCCAGCGAACAACAGCAAGGCAGAGCCACCAGAAGCAUACACCUGAUUUUCAUGACAAACACGGUAACGCUGUAUGAGCUAGUGAAACCACUUUCUGUAUUGCUGUACGGAUAUGUAUAGCAACACAAACUGGAAUAGAAUGGAACAUGUCCCCUGUUGGCAGAGUCACCCCAAAGGAAUGGAGAGAUAAGUAG
rnacentral:lncRNA from 1 species